CACCUCUAGCAUUACAAGUAUUAGAGGCAUUGCCUGCCCAGUGACUAAAGUUAAACGGCCGCGGUAUCCUGACCGUGCAAAGGUAGCAUAAUCACUUGUUCCUUAAUUAGGGACUAGUAUGAACGGCUAGACGAGGACUCAACUGUCUCUUAUUUUCAAUCAGUGAAAUUGACCUUCCAGUGAAGAGGCUGGAAUAAUAUAAUAAGACGAGAAGACCCUAUGGAGCUUCAAUUCAUUAGCAUAAUUACUUAAAUUAAAUACCCUAAUGGUACAAGAACAAAAAUAUAAGCUAAGAAUUUCGGUUGGGGCGACCUCGGAGAACAAAAAAUCCUCCGAAUGAUUAUAGCAUAGACUAACAAGUCAAAACAACCUGUUAAAAUCUUAUUGACCCAAACUAUUUUGAUCAACGGACCAAGUUACCCUAGGGAUAACAGCGCAAUCCUAUUCAAGAGUUCAUAUCGACAAUAAGGGUUUACGACCUCGAUGUUGGAUCAGGACACCCCAAUGGUGCAGAAGCUAUUAAUGGUUCGUUUGUUCAACGAUUAAAGUCCUA
rnacentral:rRNA from 1 species